rnacentral:misc_RNA from 1 species
GAUUCCUAAAUUUCAAGUUCUAAUAGAGCCAAAUUGCUUCCAACUUGUAAGCCUAUAUUUUAAAUUGGAAUGAUUGAAUUUUACAAGCCAUGCAAGCCAUAUAAGACAACAGACAUACAUCUAGAGAUCAAAAGCACAAGAAAAUAAAUCUACAAAUCUGUUAAGAUAAUUACAAGUAACAGUUAAUCUAUCAAGAUAAUAACCAAGAUUAAAUGCAAAACUAAGAAGUUAAAUUCUACUAAAU